AGCUUUAUUUGGUGAAAUUAGUUUUUUUUGGUGAAAAUAUGUUGGUUGAUGCUAUUACAAUGUUAUUAUUGUUAUUUUUUACUUAAAUUAGGGUUGUUAUUAACUAACUAAAGUUGUAUAGAGUUGAGUGAGAUUGGUUAUACCUAAUAAGAAGAUUCUAUAAUUGGAGAAAAAAACAAGCAUUGUCAGUAACUUUUAUUCUUUGAAUUCUACUUUUUUUUUUUUAUAUUAAUGAUAUUAAUUUAUCAAUGGCUUAGAAAAUGGACAUGUCAAUCAACUUGAGGUGGCACUUUGGUGGGGCUAUGGUGGAAGGACCACAACCAUAGUAUGAUGGUGAAACGAAUGUGGAAUUUACACCUGAUGUGGAUCUUGAGAAGUUGUCUUUGUUUGAGUUUCUUGGGUAUACAAGAGAUUUAGGAUAUUUUAUAAAGCUGAAAGUAGUAAUAUUUUAUUACCUUGAGAUAGUGAUGAGAUUAUUUCAAAAUGGACACAAGGGUUGGCAGAUAAUAAAAAUGUGGACAUAUAUAUUUCAUAUGUGAUAGAUCAAGCUGAAGAAAUAAUUAUUGUUCAUAAUGUGGACGUUAAUCCAACAGUAGGUGAGAAUAUAUUUAGUAAUAAUAUUGAGAGCAGUGCUAGGAUUUCAGUUGAAAAGGAGAAAGAGAAUAUAAAUACACAUGCUAGGGCAUCUUGUAGCAAAGUUGAUAAAAAUCCUAGAUCUAAAGCAACCAACAGUAUAUUAUAGAGUGAAGGUGAGAGUGAGAGAAUUAGCGAGGGCGAAGGUGAGGGUGACAGUGAAGAGGAUAGUGCUAGUAAGUCUAAAAGUGAAGAAUUGAUAGAGAGUGAUGAGGAUAAUAAUGAUGUCGGUUAUAUUAAUUAGGAGUUAAUAUCUGUAAAAGAGGCUGCUAGGGACUUUCUAAGGAUAAAAAGAAUGAGAGAGGCAAGAGAUGGAUCAAUAGAGGCUCCAUUAGGGAAAGUAGGACAUAAUGAGGGAUAUGAAGAUCAUAGCAAAGGUAACAAGUAUAAAGGUGUAUUUGCUGGUGAUGAAAAAUAUUAUGGAAGUGAUGACCAAUGCAGUAAUAAAAAUGAUAUUGAAAAAUAUGAGGAUGGUGUAGAUGUACCUACUAGAAGAGAAAGUAAGAAGGUUUAUUAUGAUCAUAAAUACCAGUAUUCAAUAUGGGAGGUUGGUAUAAUUUUUGAGAAUGCCUCACAGUUUAGGGAUGUUGUGGCCAAGUAUGCAAUACACGAAGGUGUCCAAUUGAAACUUAGGACAAAUAAAGCUAGCAGAGUGAGGGUAAAGUGCAAGAAUAGUGGCUGUCCAUGGUAUUUGCUAAUUAUGAAGAAAACAAUGCAAACUUUAUUAUGAAGAAAUAUAAACCAAUGCAUAAGUGUCACAGGUUUAACAAGAAUGCACUAUGUAACUCAAAUUUUAUAGCCAAAUUCUUUAAGAAUAGGACUAUAUUACAACCAUCAAUAAAAGUAUGGGAGUUACAAGAUUUGUGCAAGAGAGAAUUGAAGACGUAUGUUGGAGUUACUACUUGUAGAAGGGCAAAAAGAAAUGUGCUACAAUAAAGUAUGGGUGAUCAUGUACAAGAUUUUGCAAGGCUGCAUGACUAUGUAGAUGAGAUAAAUAGAUCAAAUCAUGGCAGUACUUAUUUUGUAAAAGUUGACAAAGAAAAGAAAUAUGGAAUUGAAGUGUCUGAUAAAUGUUUAUGUUUGUUUAAAUUCAUGUAAGGAAGAGUGGAGAGAGGGUUGUAGAAAGAUGAUUGGAUUAGAUGAAUGUUUCUUUAGAGGUGCCUGCAAGGGCCAAUUUCUUGUGGUUGUGUCAAAGGAUGGGAAUGGCCAAAUGUUUCCUAUAGCUUGGUCUGUUGUUGAGUUGGAGACCGACAUUAGUUGGAUGCAAUUUUUGAAAACUUUGAAAGACGACCUUGACUUGCAUAAUGGAAAAGGUUUAAGUAUGAUGACAAACAUGCAAAAGGAAUUGAUACCUGCCAUAUGUGAUGUGUUACCUAAUGCUGAGUACAAAAUGUAUGCUCGAUAUAUUUGUAGUAAUUGGGCUAAAAAUUAGAGAGGGAGAGAGAGGAGGAAGAAAUUUUAAGAAUGUGCUUGUAGUAGUUUCGAGGCAGAAUUGAGGGAGAAAUUAGAAGUUUCGAGGCAGAAUUGAGAGAUUAAUAAAGCUGCAUCAACUAGUCAGGGUGAUACUAGUGGUGUUCAAUCAAACUUUAAACCUAACACUAGGAGUGCCUAGUGCAUCAAGGUAUCAGAUAACAGGCUGCUCAUGUGAAGACAAAUGUAAACAAUAGAGGCAGAGGUAGGGGUUCUGCAAUAGGUGGUGUUGGAAGAGAAAAUAACAAAAGUUCAACAUAACCCUAACCAAAAAAGAUAAAGAUUGAAUGGCCUGGAGUGUUACAUUAAUGAAGAAACUAGUUGCACAGUCUACAAUCAUGACCAAAGCAGCAGUAGAGUCAUUGUACCUCCAUCAAAUUUGAAGGAUGCUUCAUAGCCUAUUGAUUUAGGUUUCAAGCCACCAAGACUCAAAUGGAAAGACAAAAAUGUUGUGAUCAGCAGACAACUACAACAAGAAGCACAAGUUGCAAUGCAAAACAGGAAAAAUGUCAGGGAUUUCAAAAUACUACCAUACAAGCAUCAAGUGCCCCACAAUCAAGAGGAAAUUCUAACCAAACUAGCUCUUCCACACAACUUAAUGUACCUAAACCAAUAUGGAAGUCAUAAUUCACUUAGGGUUUAAGUCUAAUUUUUGAGUGCCUAUUUACUUUAAUAACUUGUUUUAUUUAAGUCAACAGUUAGUAUUGACAUCGUUAGCAAAUUUUACUUCCUUUUUGAAUUGUAUUGACAUUAACAAUUAGAUUAAUCAAGCAUUCCUU